rnacentral:rRNA from 1 species
CGGCGAGUGAAGCGGCAACAGCUCAAAUUUGAAAGCUGGCCCUUUUAGGGUCCGCAUUGUAAUUUGUAGAGGAUGAUUCGGCGAGGGCUCCUGCCUAAGUCCCCUGGAACGGGGCGUCAUAGAGGGUGAGAAUCCCGUAUGCGGUAGGUUGCCUUAGCCAUGUGAAUCUCCUUCGACGAGUCGAGUUGUUUGGGAAUGCAGCUCUAAAUGGGAGGUAAAUUUCUUCUAAAGCUAAAUACCGGCCAGAGACCGAUAGCGCACAAGUAGAGUGAUCGAAAGAUGAAAAGCACUUUGGAAAGAGAGUUAAAAAGUACGUGAAAUUGUUGAAAGGGAAGCGCUUGCAACCAGACUUGUCCGCAGUUGCUCAGCCGGUCUCCUGACCGGCGUACUCUUCUGCGGCCAGGCCAGCAUCAGUUCGGGCGGUCGGAUAAAGGCCUCGGGAAUGUGGCUCCUCUCGGGGAGUGUUAUAGCCCGGGGUGCAAUGCGGCCAGCCUGGACUGAGGAACUCGCUUCGGCAAGGAUGCUGGCGUAAUGGUUGUAAGCGGCCCGUCUUGAAACACGGACCAAGGAGUCUAACAUCUAUGCGAGUGUUCGGGUGUCAAACCCGUACGCGUAAUGAAAGUGAACGGAGGUGGGAACCCGCAAGGGUGCACCAUCGGCCGAUCCUGAUGUCUUCGGAUGGAUUUGAGCAAGAGCAUAGCUGUUGGGACCCGAAAGAUGGUGAACUAUGCCUGAAUAGGGUGAAGCCAGAGGAAACUCUGGUGGAGGCUCGCAGCGGUUCUGACGUGCAAAUCGAUCGUCAAAUUUGGGUAUAGGGGCGAAAGACUAAUCGAAC